UACGUAGGGGGCAAGCGUUGUCCGGAUUUAUUGGGCGUAAAGAGCGUGUAGGCGGCUUUGCAAGUCCGUUGUGAAAACUCGAGGCUCAACCUCGAGACGCCGGUGGAAACUGCAAAGCUAGAGUCCGGAAGAGGAGAGUGGAAUCCCUGGUGUAGCGGUGAAAUGCGCAGAUAUCAGGAAGAACACCCGUGGCGAAGGCGGCUCUCUGGGACGGUACUGACGCUGAGACGCGAAAGCGUGGGGAGCGAACAGG
rnacentral:rRNA from 1 species